AUUGAACGCUGGCGGCAUGCCUUACACAUGCAAGUCGAACGGUAACAGGUUAAGCUGACGAGUGGCGAACGGGUGAGUAAUGUAUCGGAACGUGCCCAGUCGUGGGGGAUAACUACUCGAAAGAGUGGCUAAUACCGCAUACGACCUGAGGGUGAAAGCGGGGGACCGUAAGGCCCCGCGCGAUUGGAGCGGCCGAUAUCAGAUUAGCUAGUUGGUGGGGUAAAAGCCCACCAAGGCGACGAUCUGUAGCUGGUCUGAGAGGACGACCAGCCACAAUGGGACUGAGACACGGCCCAGACUCCUACGGGAGGCAGCAGUGGGGAAUUUUGGACAAUGGACGCAAGUCUGAUCCAGCCAUGGCGCGUGUGGGAAGAAGGCCUUCGGGUUGUAAACCGCUUUUGUCAGGGAAGAAACGAGUUUCUCUAAUACAGAGACUUAAUGACGGUACCUGAAGAAUAAGCACCGGCUAACUACGUGCCAGCCGCCGCUGUAAAAC
rnacentral:rRNA from 1 species